AACAAGGUUCCGUUUAUGAUCCUUCUCGCCCCGUUUUGGGUUCGAGUCGCACGGAAGCCUGAGCACCGUGCUGUUGGAACAAAUGCACCCGUGCUAGUGUCAACGACGUUGUCGUUGGCGCGACGUCAUCAAAUUGCGGGAAAUGUCCAGGACGAAAUGGGAUACCAAGCACGGCAGCACACGUCAUUCGUGCUGGAGUGUGGCCGAGUUAAUGCACUCGGGUAAGGUAACAACUCCCAGUUCGAUAGGAUUGACCUGCAGCCAAGCCUUUGGUUACGCCAAGGGUACUGUUCACAGACUAAAUGAUGACGGGUUGUAAAUGCGGACGAGCAUUUGCAGCUCAAGAUAUAGUCGGGCUCGUUCUAGGGCGAGAGAUGAUGAUAUGCCUUUCGCAUGUGAUUCACCGUUCCGUAGG
rnacentral:ncRNA from 14 species